AUACGGAGGGGGCUAGCGUUGUUCGGAAUUACUGGGCGUAAAGGGCGCGUAGGCGGAUUGUCAAGUCAGAGGUGAAAGCCCUGGGCUCAACCUGGGAACUGCCUUUGAAACUAACGGUCUAGAGUCCGAGAGAGGAUGGCGGAAUUCCCAGUGUAGAGGUGAAAUUCGUAGAUAUUGGGAAGAACACCAGUGGCGAAGGCGGCCAUCUGGCUCGGUACUGACGCUGAGGCGCGAAAGCGUGGGGAGCAAACAGGAUUAGAUACCCCGGUAGUCC
rnacentral:rRNA from 1 species